UACGUAGGUGGCAAGCGUUGUCCGGAAUUAUUGGGCGUAAAGCGCGCGCAGGCGGCCUUUUAAGUCUGAUGUGAAAGCCCACGGCUCAACCGUGGAAGGUCAUUGGAAACUGAAAGGCUUGAGUACAGAAGAGGAAAGCGGAAUUCCACGUGUAGCGGUGAAAUGCGUAGAGAUGUGGAGGAACACCGGUGGCGAAGGCGGCAUCCUGGACCAACACUGACACUGAGGAGCGAAAGCCAGGGGAGCAAACGGG
rnacentral:rRNA from 1 species